UACGAAGGUCCCGAGCGUUGUUCGGAAUCACUGGGCGUAAAGGGAGCGUAGGCGGUUUGGUAAGUCAGAUGUGAAAUCCCGGGGCUCAACCCCGGAACUGCAUCCGAUACUGCCAGACUUGAGCAAUGGAGAGGUAGCUGGAAUUAUCGGUGUAGCAGUGAAAUGCGUAGAUAUCGAUAGGAACACUCGUGGCGAAAGCGAGCUACUGGACAUUUGCUGACGCUGAGGCUCGAAGGCUAGGAGAGCGAAAGGG
rnacentral:rRNA from 1 species